rnacentral:rRNA from 1 species
UAGGGAAUCUUCCACAAUGGGCGCAAGCCUGAUGGAGCAACACCGCGUGAGUGAAGAAGGGUUUCGGCUCGUAAAGCUCUGUUGUUAAAGAAGAACACGUAUGAGAGUAACUGUUCAAACGUUGACGGUAUUUAACCAGAAAGUCACGGCUAACUACGUGCCAG